GUUUCAAUCCCUCAUAGGUAUUCUACAAAC
rfam:Candidatus Omnitrophica bacterium 4484_70.2 ex4484_70.2_scaffold_19429, whole genome shotgun sequence.